UUUGGUGAUUUUAGCGGUGGGGGUACACCCGGUUCCAUCCCGAACCCGGCAGUUAAGCCCGCCAGCGCCGAUGGUACUUGCGGGGCAGCCCGCCGGGAGAGUAGGUCAUCGCCAAUC
rnacentral:rRNA from 1 species